rnacentral:rRNA from 1 species
AUAACUUAAAUAUGUUUCCUUAGUAUUAAAAGGGUUCUCUAAAUUAAAAAAGUUUGGCGGUACUUAAGCCUUAUUAGAGGAAUUUGUGGUUUAAUCGAUAAUCCCCGAAUAUCUUCCCUCAAUUUGUAUAUCAGCUUAUAUACCGUCGUCUUCAGAUCUCAUUUUCAGAUGUCUUCUAAAAAAUUUUUUUAAGUCAGAUCAAGGUGUAGCUUAUAUUGAGGUUACCAUGAAUUACAAUAAAUGUAAUUGCGGAUAUCAUCUUGUAACAGAUGACGGAAGAUGGAUUUAAUUGUAAAUUCCAUUUAUUGUAUGAUUUUGAAUAAGUUUUUAUGUAUGU